AACGUAGGAGACAAACGUUAUCCGGAGUUACUGGGCGUAAAGGGCGCGUAGGCGGCACUGUUAGUCAGGCGUGAAAGUCCUGGGCUCAACCUGGGAACUGCGCUUGAUACGGCAGAGCUAGAGGAUGGAAGAGGGUCGCGGAAUUCCCAGAUGUAGAGGUGAAAUUCGUAGAUAUUGGGAAGAACACCGGUGGCGAAGGCGGCGACCUGGUCCAUUACUGACGCGAGGCGCGACGCGUGGG
rnacentral:rRNA from 1 species